rnacentral:lncRNA from 1 species
CGCCGCCGCCGCCGCACAGCCGCAGGGAGAGAGAAGGCAAGGAGGAAGGGGAAGAUGCCGGCGGGGCACGGGCUCCGGUCGCGGACGCGCGACCUGUUCGCGCGGCCGUUCCGGAAGAAGGGGUACAUCGCACUCACCACCUACCUGCGCACCUACAAGGUCGGCGAGCACGUCGACGUCAAGGUGAACGGCGCCGUCCACAAGGGCAUGCCGCACAAGUUCUACCACGGCCGCACGGGCCGCGUCUGGAACGUCACCAAGCGCGCCAUCGGCGUCGAGAUCAACAAGCAGGUAUAACCUCACCCCACCUUCUCUGUUCUUCAUCCGUGGUCGUCAUGUUUGUAGAUCGGUGCUGCUAGGGCGAAGCUGUGAACUUGACCGAUGGGACGCGUAAGUCCGGUCUAUUGAGGCUGAUUUAGAUUUCUUGCGGUUUAUUGUUCCUAUAACCUGUCGAAAAUGAGCUCGAACACCAACCAUCUUAGUUCGUUUGAUCUGAAUACAGUGUAGUAAGAUCCUCUUCAUGGCCUGUUCAUCUGUUAUUACCAUGUCAAUUAUGUCUGGCUUACUGUUACUGUCUGUCAAUUUCGUUUCAUUGCUGCACAUUUCUGUAGUGUCCUGCAUCGAUUUGAUGAUCUGUUAUGUUAUGUUUCAUCUUGAGGAAGGAUUUGCUAUCCAAACAUUUAGCCGUUUAGGAAUUACACUGUUUGAUUACAUAUGCCCUAGGCCGAGCGCUUCCCCCUUCAGCUAUGGGAAGGCGUGGUAUUCCACGGGAGAGGUUUUUGUGGCGCACGAUUCGUGUGAUGGGCAUACAUCAAAAUUUCAUUCUGGCUUCCCCUGACUGCAUGCUUUUCCUGCAGCAGUUAUGAGAGCCUAAUUGGAUGAUACACCUAUAAACAGCUGUUUUCAUAUUUAGUGGAUACCCUAGUUUGUUUCACCUAAUAUCUGCAUAUUUGAUGCGUAUCCAAGCCUGUUUCACCUAAUGUGCAUGAAAUUUGGAUGCAUUUGAUGCUUGUUUUGUCUAAUAUUAUUUCUGCACUCCACUAUCUGUAAACUACUUUGGGAUGUUUUGAAUUAGUGUUUGUUUUUGCUUUGUUGAUUCAUACAUGCUGCCUUACAUCUCCAUGCAAAUACUGAGUCAUGUAUGGGUGGUUACAUAAGUUUUAUGUAUGAAGCAUCAUUCACUGAGUCAUGCUUGUCACUGAUUGCAACAUGUGUUUACUGUCAUUAGGUCGGCAACCGGAUCAUCAAGAAGAGGAUCCAUGUCCGUGUUGAGCACGUGCAGCCAUCCAGGUGCAAUGAGGAGUUCCUCCAGAGGAAACUCAACAAUGACAAGCUGAAGGCGGAGGCCAAGGCCCGUGGUGAGGUCAUCAGCACAAAGAGGCAGCCAGCAGGGCCCAAGCCCGGGUUCAUGGUGGAGGGCACCACCAUUGAGACAGUCACACCCAUCCCGUACGAUGUCGUCAACGAUCUCAAGGGUGGUUACUAGAGCGCUUGUUUCCUGAGCAGAAGCUUGAGCCAGUCUUAGUAUCUAUGCUUGUUCCGAAUGUUUUGCUACUGAGUAGUCAUCGUUUUGC